GGUUUAGGGUGGCAGAGAGCGAGUGCCUUGGGUUUAAGCCCCAAAUACAAGACGUACGUUUUCCCUAAAA
rnacentral:tRNA from 1 species